AGGUGUGGAUAGGGGAGAAAUUCCAAUCGAACCCGGAGAUAGCUGGUUCUCCUCGAAAUAGCUUUAGGGCUAGCCUCAUACGAGUCUUGCGGAGGUAGAGCACUGAAUUCCUAAGGGGGCGUCAAAGCUUACCAAGGGAUAUCAAACUCCGAAUGCCGCAUAAAUGAUGUACGGGAGUCAGACUGCACGAGAUAAGUUGGGCAGUCAAAAGGGAAAGAGCCCAGACCUACAGCUAAGGUCCCAAAGUGUGUGUUAAGUGGAAAAGGAUGUGGGAUUUCAAAGACAACUAGGAUGUUGGCUCAGAAGCAGCCACACAUUCAAAGAGUGCGUAAUAGCUCACUAGUCGAGAGGUCCUGCGCCGAAAAUGUCCGGGGCUGAAACACAACACCGAAGCUUAGGAAUGUAUGUAAGUACAUUGGUAGAGGAGCAUUCUUAGUGCGGAGAAGCGGUACCGAUAAGGAGCCGUGGAGCGUUAAGAAGAGAGAAUGCCGGAAUGAGUAGCGAGAUGGAGGUGGGAAUCCUCCAGGCCGAAUAUCCAAGGUUUCCAGAGUAAAGCUGAUCUGCUCUGGGUAAGUCGGGGCCUAAGGCGAGGCUGAGAGGCGUAGUCGAUGGACAACAGGUUGAAAUUCCUGUACCAUGUAUCAUCAGAACUGUGGGGACACAGAAGGACAACACAUCCCGGGAAUGGGAAUACCGGGGCAAGCGGGGUAGGAGUACGGCUGGCAAAUCCGCCGUACAAUCCGAAUACGUGACGCGGAGCGAACUGAAGUAGUGAAGUGUGCGAUUCCAGCUGUCAAGAAAAGCCGCUAUUGUGUGAUACGUGCCCGUACCGUAAACCGACACAGGUAGAUGAGGAGAGAAUCCUAAGGCCGGCGGGAGAAGCAUUGUUAAGGAACUCGGCAAAAUGACCCCGUAACUUCGGGAGAAGGGGUGCCACAGAGAUGUGGCCGCAGAGAAUAGGCUCAAGCAACUGUUUAGCAAAAACACAGGUCUAUGCAAAACCGUAAGGUGAGGUAUAUGGGCUGACGCCUGCCCGGUGCUGGAAGGUUAAGAGGAGAGGUUAGAGCAAUCGAAGCUUUGAAUUGAAGCCCCAGUAAACGGCGGCCGUAACUAUAACGGUCCUAAGGUAGCGAAAUUCCUUGUCGGGUAAGUUC
rnacentral:rRNA from 1 species